UUCAUUAUUUGUGGUUGGGUGUUGGGAAAACAGAGGUUUCUGGAUGAAGAGUCAUCAGUUCAUAUUCUAUUUUCUCACCAAUGAAAUCAGAAUCCCUUUAGAGACUGAAUUUUUGGAUUAGUCUACUCUGUGAAUGACAUGGGUUGCAGUUGAACUUCAGUUUCUCAACUAGAUAAGACAGGGAUCACCCCAGGCCAUCUGGACUUCACUGGAUAACACAAAGAUUAAUUAGAUAGUGUCUGUGAAUCCUUUUAAAUCAAGGCUGAAUGAGAGGGUUGUCAAUGGAGAUGCAGUCUGUGAGGAAUGGACAGCCGACUUUGUGCCACCAGCUGGCCUGGCUCUGACAGGAGGGACCACAGACCUGGCUUCUAAAGAAUUAAGCACAUUCUUGAAGAUGAGUGUGCACAAAAACACUUGUGCGUGAAGGAGAUUUAAGUGGAAAAGUCGAUGCACAGAGACAGUCCCACUCUCUCGGCGUUGGAAGCCUGGGUCCAGUGGCAUGAAAAAUCGUUACACCUGGAGACUUCCUCAGCUGCAUUGGAUCUAUUGGAUUUAUCAAUCUAUAGAUAAAUAAUCAGGAUCAAGAUGACAUGGCCACAGAGAACUAUAAGAUCAUAGUUCUAGAAUGAGAAAGAUUCAAGAAGCCCUCGAAUUCAGCUCUCUCCAUUUACAUAUGAGGAAUCUGAGGUCCAUGAAUAUUAAUUUGCCCAAAGUCACAAAGGUGGGUAAGUGUCAAAGGUGGAAUUUGAACC